rnacentral:rRNA from 1 species
UACGAACGCUGGCGGCGUGCCUAAUACAUGCAACUAGAACGCAGUGGCGAACGGGUGAGUAACGCGUAUGUAACUGCCUCAUAGCGGGGGGUAACUAUUUGAAACGAUAGCUAAUACCGCAUACUGUGAGAUGGACCUGCGUUGUAUUAGCUAGUUGGUGAGGUAAAGGCUCACCAAGGCGACUAUACAUCACCGACCUGAGAGGGUGAUCGGCCACACUGUGACUGAGAGACGGCCCAGACUCCUACGGGAGGCAGCAGUAGGGACUGUGCGGGAAUGGAAGAAAGUCUGACGGAGCAACGCAGCGUGAGUGAAGAGGGUCAUCGGAUCCUAAAGCUCUGUUGUUAGAGAAGGCGGAACUAACCAGAAAGCGACGGCUAACUACAUGCCAGCAGCCGCGGUAAUAC